rnacentral:rRNA from 1 species
UACGUAGGGGGCAAGCGUUGUCCGGAUUUAUUGGGCGUAAAGAGCGUGUAGGCGGCCAGGUAGGUCAGCUGUGAAAACUCGAGGCUCAACCUCGAGACGUCGGUUGAAACCACCUGGCUAGAGUCCGGAAGAGGAGAGUGGAAUUCCUGGUGUAGCGGUGAAAUGCGCAGAUAUCAGGAAGAACACCGGUGGCGAAGGCGGGUCUCUGGGCAGUAACUGACGCUGAGGAGCGAAAGCGUGGGGAGCGAACAGG